ACGGGUUUCUGAUCAAUUUCUGAGAACAUAUGAUUCUUGUCGGAAAAUUCUCGAAACUUUGUUUUAAAUCAAUAUUCUCGGUAAUUUGUCCUAAAUCGAUGUCGGUACGUUGUCGGAAACAAAAUAAAAUUGCGAGGAGCUUGUUUUCUCGGAAAGUUCCGAGAACAUGAUGUCGGUAUUUUCUCAGGCCAAUCAAAAUCCCGACGAUUAAUAUGCUUCUCGGUACGGCGUCAUAGAAACUGACAAACGUCCGUCGUUCUCUUAGUUCGUCAUGUCGGCAAGUGAACUUUUUCCAACUUUACUUGAACAACGCAGUCAUCUGAUUCAGAUUGAAUAGUUUCAGAUUUUGUUUUAAUCAAGUAACAGUUAUGAAUCUGUAAGUAAACUCAUUUCAGCCAUGCAUUUGUAAACAUUAAUCGAUUUCGUUGUGAUCCCAAAUCUCUAUUUUCCCAGUUCGAUAUCUCUUGAUAUAUUUAAAGAUGAUACAAAAUUGUAACACGUGGCCAAACUAGAUGUGUCGUUUAGAAAAGAAGGGUCUGGAUGCAGAGUUAUAAACUUUUUGUGAAGAUAAUAAAAAGAAAAGGAAAAGAUAAUAUAACGCACUAUAUCUACUAUUUCUAUCUUUAUCCUGCCCACUUAUCUUUUUUUUUCUUAUCUUCUCCUAUUUUCUUCAAUCUCUGUCAAAGAGUUGAUCUUCUGUUGCGCAACGGUGUAAAGCGAUAUCUUCACGAGCUUGUUCUGGAUUCGGUGGCCUCCUUGCAAUCGUUUUAUUUAGUGAUCUCUGCCGCCGAUUUGUGGGGUUUACUUCCGGUUUCGGACUGGGAAUUUGAGGAGGUGGUGCUUCUGCUGGUGAUGAUUCUUCCAAUUUGGUCCCGGUUAGUGUGCUCUCUGCCUCUUUCUAGUAAAUUCGUUUUUCUCAUUUUCUCCUCUUUUCUUCUUUCCCUUCCUCUGUUUAUUUUAGUGCUUUCAGAUUUGUUUUCUCUUUGAACUGACACCACCGACCUUGCACCGCCACCAUCACCACCUAAACUCCCUCCACCUCCACCAUCACGGCGACCUUCGCACUCUACACCACACCGCCACAUCUCAACGACUAUUAGAUUAUAAGUUUUAUUUUUGUUUUCGUUUAAUUUUAUAGAACUUUUUUAAUUUCUUUAUUUGUAAUAUAUAUUUGAUAAUUUAAAUAUUAUUGUGAGUUUUAUUUGUAUUUCAUUUUUUGUUUUUUUUUUAUUUAAAAAUAUUAGUUUCUCGGAAGAUCAUCGCUAAUAUUUCUCGGAAGCUUAUCGGGAUCUUUUGAUCACUUUCCCAUAAAUUGUUCCGACAAAAUUUGUUAACGGAAAGUACCGACUAACUUCCCACAAACCGAUAUUUCCGAGACCCAAACUCCGACUAAAAUCUGAUUGUCGGGAAGUAAUCAGUAAUGACCAUUACCGACCAACUGCCGAUUAAUACGCCCGUCGGAGGAUAACCUUUAUUCUUGUAGUGAACCAGGCAGUCCACAAACACAUCA
rnacentral:lncRNA from 1 species